AAAGUGGAGCAAUCCAUGAGUAAAGUGGCGACCGGGUGAGUAACACGUGACUAACCUACCUCCAAGUGGGGAAUAACUCCGGGAAACCGGGGCUAAUACCGCAUAACAUCGCAAGAUCAAAGCAGCAAUGCGCUGGGAGAGGGGGUCGCGGCUGAUUAGCUAGUUGGCGGGGUAACGGCCCACCAAGGCGAAGAUCGGUAUCCGGCCUGGGAGGGCGCACGGACACACUGGAACUGAAACACGGUCCAGACUCCUACGGGAGGCAGCAGUGGGGAAUUUUGCGCAAUGGGGGAAACCCUGACGCAGCAACGCCGCGUGGAGGAUGAAGCCCCUUGGGGCGUAAACUCCUUUCGACCAAGACGAUAAUGACGGUACUGGUGGAAGAAGCACCGGCUAACUCUGUGCCAGCAGCCGCGGUAAUACAGAGGGUGCGAGCGUUGUUCGGAAUUAUUGGGCGUAAAGGGCGCGUAGGCGGUGCCAUAAGUCACUUGUGAAAUCUCCGGGCUUAACUCGGAGCCUGCAGGCGAAACUGUGGUGCUGGAGUAUGGGAGAGGUGCGUGGAAUUCCCAGUGUAGCGGUGAAAUGCGUAGAUAUCGGGAGGAACACCUGUGGCGAAAGCGGCGCACUGGACCAUAACUGACGCUGAGGCGCGAAAGCUAGGGGAGCAAACAGGAUUAGAUACCCUGGUAGUCCUAGCCCUAAACGAUGAUUGCUUGGUGUAGCCGGUACCCAAUCCGGCUGUGCCGCAGCUAACGCGAUAAGCAAUCCGCCUGGGGAGUACGGUCGCAAGGCUGAAACUC
rnacentral:rRNA from 1 species